AAUAAGUGCGGUUUUAACACUAUUCAUGUUCAACGUUUAACCGUUCGUCUUAUUUGAAAAAAGAUUAUGAUUAGUAUUUUUAUUGUUAUUAGAUGAUAAAAUAUGAAUAGUACUUUAUGUGUGAUUAAUUUUUUUUAAUAUUUUUCAUAAAAUUUUCAAAUAAGACGGAUAGUCAAAGCGCUAAACACGGAUAUUUAUGACUGCACUUAUU
rfam:Oryza nivara chromosome 4, whole genome shotgun sequence.